UAGGGAAUCUUCGGCAAUGGACGAAAGUCUGACCGAGCAACGCCGCGUGAGUGAAGAAGGUUUCCGGAUCGUAAAACUCUGUUGUUAGAGAAGAACAAGGACGUUAGUAACUGAACGUCCCCUGACGGUAUCUAACCAGAAAGCCACGGCUAACUACGUGCCAGCAGCCGCGGUAAUACGUAGGUGGCAAGCGUUGUCCGGAUUUAUUGGGCGUAAAGCGAGCGCAGGCGGUUUCUUAAGUCUGAUGUGAAAGCCCCCGGCUCAACCGGGGAGGGUCAUUGGAAACUGGGAGACUUGAGUGCAGAAGAGGAGAGUGGAAUUCCAUGUGUAGCGGUGAAAUGCGUAGAUAUAUGGAGGAACACCAGUGGCGAAGGCGGCUCUCUGGUCUGUAACUGACGCUGAGGCUCGAAAGCGUGGGGAGCAAACAGG
rnacentral:rRNA from 1 species